rnacentral:misc_RNA from 1 species
UACGGAGGAUGCAAGCGUUAUCCGGAUUUAUUGGGUUUAAAGGGUGCGUAGGCGGCCUGUUAAGUCAGAGGUGAAAGGUUGCGGCUUAACCGCAGAAUUGCCUUUGAUACUGGCGGGCUUGAAUGAAGUUGAGGUAGGCGGAAUGUGGCAAGUAGCGGUGAAAUGCAUAGAGAUGCCACAGAACACCGAUUGCGAAGGCAGCUUACUAAACUUUGAUUGACGCUGAGGCACGAAAGCGUGGGGAUCAAACAGG